AGGAUAAACGCUGGCGGCGUGCCUAAUACAUGCAAGUCGAGCGGCAGCGCGGUCUUCGGACUGGCGGCGAGCGGCGGACGGCUGAGUAACACGUAGGAACGUACCCCAAAGUGAGGGAUAAGCACCAGAAAUGGUGUCUAAUACCGCAUGUGCUCUAAGGAGUAAAGCUUCGGCGCUUUGGGAACGGCCUACGCAUGAUUAGCUUGUUGGUGAGGUAAUGGCUCACCAAGGCGACGAUCAUUAGCUGGUCUGAGAGGAUGAUCAGCCAGACUGGGACUGAGAACGGCCCAGACUCCUACGGGAGGCAGCAGUAGGGAAUUUUCCACAAUGGGCGAAAGCCUGAUGGAGCAACGCCGCGUGCAGGAUGAAGGCCUUAGGGUUGUAAACUGCUUUUAUAUGUGAAGAAUAUGACGGUAGCAUAUGAAUAAGGAUCGGCUAACUCCGUGCCAGCAGCCGC
rnacentral:rRNA from 1 species